GGGAAUAUUGCACAAUGGGCGAAAGCCUGAUGCAGCGACGCCGCGUGAGGGAUGACGGCCUUCGGGUUGUAAACCUCUUUCAGCAGGGAAGAAGCUUUCGGGUGACGGUACCUGCAGAAGAAGCACCGGCUAACUACGUGCCAGCAGCCGCGGUAAUACGUAGGGUGCGAGCGUUGUCCGGAAUUAUUGGGCGUAAAGAGCUCGUAGGCGGCUUGUCACGUCGGUUGUGAAAGCCCGGGGCUUAACCCCGGGUCUGCAGUCGAUACGGGCAGGCUAGAGUUCGGUAGGGGAGAUCGGAAUUCCUGGUGUAGCGGUGAAAUGCGCAGAUAUCAGGAGGAACACCGGUGGCGAAGGCGGAUCUCUGGGCCGAUACUGACGCUGAGGAGCGAAAGCGUGGGGAGCGAACAGGAUUAGAUACCCUGGUAGUCCACGCCGUAAACGGUGGGAACUAGGUGUGGGCGACAUUCCACGUCGUCCGUGCCGCAGCUAACGCAUUAAGUUCCCCGCCUGGGGAGUACGGCCGCAAGGCUAAAACUCAAAAGGAAUUGACGGGGGCCCGCACAAGCGGCGGAGCAUGUGGCUUAAUUCGACGCAACGCGAAGAACCUUACCAAGGCUUGACAUACACCGGAAAACCGUGGAGACACGGUCCCCCUUGUGGUCGGUGUACAGGUGGUGCAUGGCUGUCGUCAGCUCGUGUCGUGAGAUGUUGGGUUAAGUCCCGCAACGAGCGCAACCCUUAUCCUGUGUUGCCAGCACGCCCUUCGGGGUGGUGGGGACUCACGG
rnacentral:rRNA from 1 species